GUAGGUGGCAAGCGUUGUCCGGAAUUAUUGGGCGUAAAGCGCGCGCAGGCGGUCCUUUAAGUCUGAUGUGAAAGCCCACGGGCUCAACCGUGGAGGGUCAUUGGAAACUGGGGGACUUGAGUACAGAAGAGGAAAGCGGAAUUCCAAGUGUAGCGGUGAAAUGCGUAGAGAUUUGGAGGAACACCAGUGGCGAAGGCGGCUUUCUGGUCUGUAACUGACGCUGAGGCGCGAAAGCGUGGGGAGCAAACAGGAUUAGAUACCCUGGUAGUCCACGCCGUAAACGAUGAGUGCUAAGUGUUAUGGGGUUUCCGCCCCUUAGUGCUGCAGCUAACGCAUUAAGCACUCCGCCUGGGGAGUACGGCCGCAAAGGCUG
rnacentral:rRNA from 1 species